ACGGAAGGCAGCAGUGGGGAAUAUUGCACAAUGGGGGAAACCCUGAUGCAGCGACGCCGCGUGAGUGAAGAAGUUAUUCGUAAUGUAAAGCUCUAUCAGCAGGGAAGAAAAUGACGGUACCUGACUAAGAAGCCCCGGCUAACUACGUGCCAGCAGCCGCGGUAAUACGUAGGGGGCAAGCGUUAUCCGGAUUUACUGGGUGUAAAGGGAGCGUAGACGGUCUGGCAAGUCUGAUGUGAAAGGCAGGGGCGCAACUCCUGGACUGCAUUGGAAACUGUCAGUCUUGAGUGUCGGAGAGGUAAGCGGAAUUCCUAGUGUAGCGGUGAAAUGCGUAGAUAUUAGGAGGAACACCAGUGGCGAAGGCGGCUUACUGGACGAUAACUGACGUUGAGGCUCGAAAGCGUGGGGAGCAAACAGGAUUAGAUACCCUGGUA
rnacentral:rRNA from 1 species